rnacentral:lncRNA from 1 species
GUGGCAGAGAUGAGGAGCAACCAGCAAAUGGGAUUGUGAGAGUGGCGUGUGAGGUAGGAGAAAGAAGAGAAUCGAAUCUAGGAAGAGACAGGUUUUGCCAUGUUGGUCAGACUGGUUUCGAACUCCCGGCCUCAAGCGAUCCUCUCACCUUGGCCUACCAAAGUGCUGGGAUUACAGGCGUGAGCCACUGUGCCUGGCCUGGGACAUGGAUGGAGCUGGAAACCAUUAUCCUCAGCAAACUAAUGCAGGAACAGAAAACCAAACACUGCAUGUUCUCACUUCACCUGCAGGGAUCCUCCCUUGUGGCCCUCUCCCUGCUUGAAGUCCCACCCAAAAGGCUUGGGGACAUAGCAGCAGCUGCCUCGGUACAGAGGAUAGAUAAAUUUUGUUUGAUGCCCUCUCUCCAUACUUCAAUGCCUGGACCGAGGAAUUCCUCCCAUGUUUUGUUUCUCAGUCCUUCCUUGUCUUUCGUGACCUUGACACUUUUGAAGAAUACAAUUGAGGUAUUUUGUAGAAUGUCUCUCAAUUUAGGUUUGUCUGAUGUUUCCCAUGAUUACACUGAGGUUACACAUUUUAGCAAGAAUGCUGCAGAAGUGUUCUUAGGGCAUCUUACUGGGAGGUACGUGAUGUUGAUGUUAACCUUGAUCAUUUGGUUAAAGUAA